CACAGUGACACGAACACCCGCUUUCUUUUUUUUUCUCUCGUUUCGGCGCCAUUUUCGAUUGGGCUGGAGGUUUGGCCAGUGAGUCCAGCUGGGUUCCGGACCGAUGGACACGUAUCGCCGGGUCGACAGUGUCACAGCGCUGUGCUGCAGGAUCUUCAGCUGGGGGCUUCUAUGACAUUGAAGUGUUACUGACCUGUCCAAGAUGAGGCCAUGUGGAAUGUAGACCCUCUCCAAGUCACUGGC